UCAUUUUGGCAACACAUAUACUAAAAUUGAAUGAUAAAAGGAUUAGCAUGGCUGCUAUGCAAGAAUGGCAUGCAAAUUUGUGAAGUGUUUCAUAUUUUU
rnacentral:snRNA from 1 species